UAAAAAUAAAUAAAUAAAUUCAGAUGUUGGCUUAGUAAGCAUUCACGGAGCCUCUCCUACAUGUUGGUGCAGGGCUUGGAGCUAAGAGGGACCCAGAGAUGGUCAGCGAGGGCUGAGGGCUCCGGAAGCUCAGAGUUCACAAUGGAGAGGCUACCUGUAUGCAUUGAUAAAGUAGACUGUCAUCAGCCCUCUCGGGAAGGGGGCCUGCAGACUAGAGCCAUUGGGAAAGAGAACAGACUUGCCCAAGAGCCACCAGAGUCCUAGCGGGCAAAGUAUCUUCACAGCUUUGCUUCCUAGCAGGUUGAGCCAACCCCCUCACAGAGUGCCAGCCUCAAGCUUCCCUAAGGGUUUGAGUGGCCUCCGGGGCUGGUGUUUGCUAGACACGUGUGGGGAGACCCACUCUUGCUGUCCCAGAACCCUGAGUCCCUCUGUCUCCUUGGCAGGCUCGGCAGACAGCAACCAUCUCUCACGGCCUCCAUAAACGUCAACCCCAGAAAAAAAGCUCCAAAGAGGGUUUAGUCCAAUUUCUCUCGUGUGUGGGAACUGAGGCCCCCAGAAGGGAAGCGGCUCCUUCUGGCUCCUCCGCAGGAGGGACACGCAGUCUGUCUUGGAGACCUCGGGGUUUGCAUGACCGCUCUUAAGGGAUCUGAAGAAGAACAGGGGCAGGGGCAGUACCCUGCUGCCUCCACCACAUUCCCAGAGAUAAUCUGUCAAGGGAAGGAAGGAGAAAAACAAGGGCGAACAAGCCGUCUAUUCUUGUCUGCGCCAUUUUCCCAUGUCAGGAGAGACCGCACGGAAAAAUUUAGGUUUCUCCUUUCAUGUUCCUUUCAGUGCCCACUCGACAGAACGCCUUUCUUUCCCCCCUUUUCUUUGGCAGGAUCCUGACCAAGGCUGUGGAAAAAGAAUCUUUUAAGAACAUAUAUAUCUAUCUAUCGAUAUACAUUCAGUUCCUGACAGUGACACGGAACUGUAGUGCCUCUUAAUUACCCAGGAAGUGACAAGGUCAAGAGGUGUCUGAAAGCUGCCUUGUGCUUCUGCGCAUUGAUUUCUCCCUAUUGUCGCUGCUUCCGAAGCUGGAGUGGGGGGCCACAGAGCCUGCGUUUUGUCCACUGUUCGGACUUCUUCCUUUCUUCCUUUUUUUUUUUUUUUUUUUUUUUUUUAAUGUGAAAAGAAACUUCUGGCACUUGGGGUAUUGAUUGAAAAUUCGUAAAAGCAGGACGCGUUUCAGGUUGGUUGACCAGUCAUAAUUGCUGCCUGGGCGCUUGGGGAGGAGGUCAACCUCUUGGAGAGACACCCUCCCCUGAAGCCCCCGUCCUCUGGCUACUCUCCCACUUUCUUCCUAUUAUCUUUGGGCUCUCCGGGAGAGAAGGACAAGGAAAGAAAAAUGUGCCCACGCAUCGUCACUGGCUACAGUUACGACGAACGUACCUUCGUUUCCUCAUCUGAGAAAUGAGCAGUUGGACUGGUUGACCUGGGGCCCAAAGGUUCUGCUGGGACCCAAAGAGCAGAAACAAGAAAUAUAUUAACAUUUUCUUUAGAAUGCCAGUAACAUCUCAUCAGGUUUCAGGUAAGGGACAAAUUGAAAUAUAUUUGGCUUUUCGUCAUCUGUAAAUAUUGACUGCACAGGCCUUGGGGUUCAGCCUGAAUUAAAUAUGCCCAGUGUGUUUUCUUGAGGUCAGAAAUACAGUGUGGACCAAGAGACAAAACAUAGAAGCUGCUGAAUGACCACUGAUCGGCUGGAGACCUCAGAGAAGGCACCACGGAGGAGCUGGCACCUGAACCGAGUUCUGAAGGAUGAGCAAAGUGUAAAGAAAGGAACGUGUGAGCAAAGGCCCAGAGAUAGGGAAGUAGUGUGCUUGCGUGGGGACACAAUGACUAGUCAAGAAAGAAGGUCAAAGAAGAAAGAAGAUUGAAGAAACAUUAACUUUGGGCAUUGCAUGGAGGCAAUUAAGGAGGACUUUGGAACCCGCCAGUUUUACAGUGGAGGGAGUGGGAGGGAAGGAAGGGAAAGGGGUGGGGGCCCCUAGACACUGACUGGCCGAGCUCCGUGAUGGGAAAGGGUGUGAAUAAAAUAUAGAAAGGCAAAAGGA